rnacentral:tRNA from 1 species
UCUCUGGUGGUCUAGUGGUUAAGACUUCGCACUCUCAAUGCAGGAGACUUGGGUUUGAUCCUUGGUCAGGGAA